CAGUCGCCGCGGGAAUACGAGGGGAGCUAGCGUUAUUCGGAAUUACUGGGCGUAAAGCGCACGUAGGCGGCUUUGUAAGUUAGAGGUGAAAGCCCAGAGCUCAACUCUGGAAUUGCCUUUAAGACUGCAUCGCUUGAAUCCAGGAGAGGUGAGUGGAAUUCCGAGUGUAGAGGUGAAAUUCGUAGAUAUUCGGAAGAACACCAGUGGCGAAGGCGGCUCACUGGACUGGUAUUGACGCUGAGGUGCGAAAGCGUGGGGAGCAAACAGGAUUAGAUACCCGUGUAGUCCCUGUCUCUUAUAC
rnacentral:rRNA from 1 species